UAAGUCCAAAACCGUUCAGGGAAAACAACAUUAAGUUUUAAAGCUAAAUAAUAAUCUCGUCUGACUACAUAUCCUGCAUCCUGGGUACACUGGGAUAGAGAUUUGGCCCCCAAGGCCUCAGGCAGCCUUGCUCCUAUGGCUUUGUUGGGUUCAGUGCACUCAGUAACUCAGGCUCCACCCCUCUGACAAGUCUCUGCCUGGGCACCCAGGCUGUCUGUGACAUGCUUUGAAAUCUAGAUAGAGUUAGCUAUGCCCCCACAACUCUCAUAUUCUGCACACCUGCAGAAUUGGCACCAUGUAGACACCACCAAGGUUUAUGGCAUGGACUUUGUGGAGCAGCAGCUCGAUCCUCACCUGGGCUCCCUUGAGCCAUGGCUGGGGUGGCCAUGGAGCGCUGGGCUGGAAUGCAGGGAGGAGAGACUCUGGGCAGAUGGCCUGUGGAGUAUGCCCCAGGUCUGUCCUCCAGAACCAUUCUUCCCUCCUGCAGCUCUGGGCCUGUAAUGGGAGGGCAGCCUCAAAGAUCUCUGAAAUGCCUUUGGGGUCUUCCU
rnacentral:lncRNA from 1 species